rnacentral:rRNA from 1 species
GACGAACGCUGGCGGCGUGCCUAACACAUGCAAGUCUUGGGAGAAAGAGGUAGCAAUAUCUUGAGUAAACCGGCGCAAGGGUGAGUAACACGUAGGUAACCUGCCCAGAAGACGGGAAUAACUUCGAGAAAUCGAGGCUAAUGCCCGAUGAUAUUCCGAUGCGACAUCGCAUUGGAAUCAAAAGCCGAAAGGUGCUUUUGGAUGGGCCUGCGUCCCAUUAGGUAGUUGGUGAGGUAACGGCUCACCAAGCCCACGAUGGGUAGCUGGUCUGAGAGGACGAUCAGCCACACUGGAACUGAGACACGGUCCAGACUCCUACGGGAGGCAG